CACGGGACAGGGCCCUGGGCGGCCACCGUAGCACGGGACGCGGAUACCUCCGCAGGCCGUAAUCCUGCAGGCGUCUUGUCCCGGGCCCUAAACGCCCGGGCUGCAAGCACAGAGCCCAGAGUCGUGCAUCUGUGAGCGGCAGCCCCGUGUUUAGGUUUACAGCUGUCCCUCUGGCUGUAACUACUGUAUUUAAGCUACCAGCUGCCACGCACCGUGAGCGUCUGGGCCUCGGGACUACAAGAUCCAGCAUGCACAGAGCUCUGGGUCCUUAUGACAAAACCUUCUUGGCUAAAAAUACUGUCUGUCUAUACCAAGACAAACUGUGGUUAGGGGUGCGGAUUACAUCCUGGUGGAGCUUCUAGGGACGUGUGCAAUCAGUUUACACAUUCGGGUUCUUGUCAGGGAAUGAAAUACAGGACCUGCCUUUUAAGAAAUGUGGAGAGAGAUACUAAAUAAUGACAAAAUCUACGUGGAGUUAUUGGAGCGAUUUAUUCACCAUUCACUGGGACAGUCAAUCAGUGGAGAGGAAUGGUUUUGAUUAUUGAGAGGAUGUUUACCCUUUCAAAUCUACAAGGCUGAAGAUCAGAAUACAGAUCAAGUUCCAAGAUAGCCAAGGCUGCACAGGAAAGCCCCAACACCAAAGGGUUCCAGGUGGCUCCAUGUGUAAGCUGUCCAUGCUUUUUCUGGACGAGCUGAUGGGGUUCCUUCCAGACCAGAAACAGAGUACUUUCUUCCCAUGGUAUUCUCUAUAGUACUGCUGAAUGUCAUGGAGUUGGAUGCCCCUGAAGCACCUUUAAGACCCUAGCCACUUAGAUAACCUAGAAUGGACCAAAAGGUCUUCUCUUCUGAGUGUGGGGACCCAGAAG
rnacentral:lncRNA from 1 species